CAGGGGCAUCGUGAGGGACGGGCCGAGGGGCCAAUGACACCCCGCGGGGAGCGGGAGCGCGCCGUGGAGGAAUGAGGCGGAGGGGGUGGAGGGCGCAGUCUGGGCUCGGGCCGAGGCGGGGCGGGGUAAGCGGGCGCGCGGAGGCUCGCGGGGUGAGCGGGAGCUGUUCGCGGGCCGGGCCGGCUUCGUCGGCCGGUACGACCGAGAGACAAGGGCGAGAGGUGAAGGCACUAGAGAGGAUGGAGACGCGCCUCGUUCCCCUCCUGUAGGAACGCAUCAGUUGUUGAGACAAAUUCAGUCCCGAACGGCAAAUGAUUUCUUGGGCAUAAGCAGCUCGGCUUCUUAAUCUAAUAAUGACAGAUAUUACCUUCAAAUGGUGAAAAUAUUGAUCACGAAGCAGGCUGUCUGGCAUGCAUGGCGGUGCUGGCCGAGGGCUCCGGAGACCAGUGGUGAAAGAGCCACGACUUGUCCCACUGCGCUGUGCACAGGCAGGUAUGCUGAGGCCUGCAGUACAGGUGUAUUUCUAGGUACGUCAACCCGCUGUACAACUACAUAGCCGUGCUGAAAGGCUGUCAGCCACAGCAGCUAGUGGUGUACAAAUAGGUUGGAAAAGCAGUCGCAGCUCUACAGCGUUCACUCCUGUUUGCUAGGUCUCGGCAGUGCACUGAUGAGAAUGUUUUUCUAUUUAAUUUCCCCGCUGUUUGAAAGAGGUGUUUGACACCCCAUGGGACCAUGCCUGAGGACAGAGAUGCCUCUGCUUCUGUGCCCAUUUAAUCCUGGGCUUCUCUGCUGGACUGCCACCAACGCAGCUGUAUUUUUGUAAUCUUCUCACUUAGAAAUGGACAAAAUGCUGUAAAAAGCCAGUUUACGUGAGCCACUAACGCCGUCAGCUUAGCACAGACCUUCGUCUGAUUGUUAGCUUGUACAAGAAGUGAAGAAGCUUUUAAACCCUUGCUGCUCUCUCUGAAAGUAAUUUCAGUGGUCUUCCAUUCAGGAUCAUUAGUUGCUUCAUUCGGAUUCUGAUGAAACUUUGUUAAACAUGCAGCUGGACAUAUUUAUAUAAGCCCACUAUGUUUAACAUUACUGUUAUUUAAAAGUACUCAGCUGUGUGUGGGAGUUGCACAUUCAAGAAUUUAAUUUGUAUCCAGAUAUAGAAAGCAAGCAUGAGUUUCUACUAGGGUAAUAAUAUUCACUGAUUGUUUCUUCCCUUUUCUAUGAAUUCUCACUCCAUCUUUACAGAGCAUACAAUCCUCUUUGGGGACUACAGCUGUGCCUGGAUUUAAAUAAUUAAACUGAAUUAUAGAUAACCAUCAGAGUUUGUAAAAAAUAGAAUUGUAUACAUAUUUCACAAAGCAUGAAAUCAUCUUUGUUUUGAAAGAAAGAGAGAGAGAGAGAGAGAGA